AUGCCGGUAGAAAUAUCAGAAUAAUGUAUGUCUUUUAGUUUUUAUGUUUAAAAUCGGUACAAAAGUGAUUUUUCUCCGCGUAGACCCUUUUUUCGAGUUUGUGAAAUAUUCCAGUAUUAAAGAAUGGUUGAAGUUUAAAUGAAAACUGCUAGAAGGCCUUCUUGUAAUCGCCUGAAAACUUGCUGAAGCUUGCCUGAAAGCUGCUACUGCAUACAUUGACUGGGACCUGGGACGCCAUUGAUAAUGACGUGGUACUUCAACGUUGAACAAUUCAGAAGGCCUUCUUGUAAUCUCCUGAUAACUUGCUGAAGCUUGCCUAAAAGCUGCUACUGCAUACAUUGACUGGGACCUGGGAUGCCAUUGAUAAUGACGUGGUAUUUCAAC